UCUGUGUAUGUUUUCGCUUGAUGGACCGCGUAACUUGCGACACAGCAAGCAGCCAAGUUAGUCAUAAUCUCGAGUUAAAUGGGCAGUUGCUAAUCCAAAUUAUAUAUUUUGGGGAUUACUACUGCUAUUUAAUGAUAUGUUUUAUAGCGCAAUUGAUCAGUGAGCAGCUCUCUCUUGCCUAUAAGAAGACCAGGAGACGUCCAGAAAACACACAAGAAAAACCAUCCACAUUCUUUUCUUUCUUUUCCUGCUGGUGAACUGUGCUGUGGUGCUGAGCUGCUAGUUCUCGCCGUCUCUUCUCCUUGGCGGGCACUGAGGAGAAGAGUGAGCGGUAUCUCCGAGCCGUUGCCGUCGUGAAGCCUGCAUGAGGGACGGCAAUAAGGUUUCUGGGCAGCGCAACUGCGCGACCGCUCGAAGCUGAUCGACUACGUUCUGCGCUGCUACAAUCUGCACUGCAUCGUCUCUUCACGAGGAAGGAGCGCAGAUCUCUCUCACGGAGAAAGCCAAACUGCUUGGCUGGCUGAUCAGAGAUUACCUGUAACCUGCAUCGAUUAAGUGUGAAGGCUGAUGAAGAGUGAAGACCUAAUGAUUCGUCAGCUAGCGUUCAUUACAAACAAGAGAAAACACGCAACCUAUAUUCACAUGGUCACCCUGAUGGUUGGUUUCGGUGUUUUCCUCAUCACGCCAUGACGGCAUCAUGCAGAUGGAGAUCGAUCUGAAAGCAUCACGUUUACCUAGCAGCAGGUAGCUGUUGCCCGUUGCCACCUGCUGCUUAAUUCUCGCUACUUGCACGCGCCGGCGGCCCAUGUUCCCAUCGUGCGCCGUGUUUGGAUGGCUCCCGAAAAAAUUUUCAUGAAAUUUUUUCGACCUUUGACCACUAAUUAGAGGUAUUAAAUAAAGUUUAAUUACGAAAUCACCUCCACAACUAUGGUAUUGUAGCAGUUGCUGUAGUUAAUGAGACCUUUGACCGCACAAUCUGAGAAUGAUUAGGUGUGGUUACUGUAGCAUCACUAUAGUCAAUUAUGAUGGAACUUGGCUCAUUAGAUUCGUCUCGAAAAGUUACACCCAUCUAUAAAAAGUUUCGUAAAUAAACUUCGUUUAGUACUCCAUAAAUCUAUUCGUCUUUUUUGAAGAAAAAAAAUUCGGAGUAUGAAUCAAACACGGCCGUGUUAUCCUUCCGUUUAACAGGAAGCGAUGGCAGCAAGUGGAAUUCAUGGUUUAGGAGGGAGUCCAAUCAGGUACACGAGCGUCGCCGUGUAGUUUAAGAUGAGACACGAGACGUUAGGGCGCGGAUUGAUCUCGAUAGCAGCGCUAGCUCUGGAGUACCUAGCAUUUUGACCUCUAGCAAGGUGUAAUGAAAGAAAAAUUAGGUUUCGGCGACAUCAGCAACAGUGAUACGAUGACAUCUAGCGGUGGCGGCGUGAACGUACAGUGCCGCCAGCUACCACCGAUUUGCACGGCAUGUUUCACAGCGGACGAACUGUAAAGGCACGCCACUAAACACACAUGUCAUGGCAACAAGCAAGCUUGGGCAACCUCUGAUGGCGAUGAUGAUGAUCAGGACAUGAGUGCUGGGACGGAUUACAAUAUGCCAUCAAGUUGUUUGUCGACUUGCCGUACUAGCAAGUAGCAGCCCCACGUACGGCUUUUCAUUACUAAAAUCUGUCCUUGUAGCAAACACUGUUCGAGACGUUGUCUUCUAAUCCUAAUUAAACACUUCCAAACCCGAUCCAACCUCUCCCUCUCUCGAAGUCUCUCCGCUGCUACAGCGGCGAAAAGGAGUCCUCGCGUCCCCGCCGGUGGUCUCCUCCGCCUCCGAUGGCCCGACGGGCAUCCUGAGGUGGCGGAGACCGCUGGAUUCUCGCCGGCUGGUAGGUUAGGUCCUAGUAGGUCUAGAGUUUGGUUUCCCGGCGCGGUGUCGUUGAGGCGGAGACAACGGCGGCGUCAUGGAAUAAGUCCUCUCGGACUCUCCCUCGUCUCGUCGACGUUUCACUCCGACGUCGACGACGAGCCCGUGGAGGUGGAGUCCGGCUUUGCCGGCUCCUGUCUAGGAGUCUGCGGCGGCGGCUGCUUCGUCGAUGUGGUGGAGCGGCAGUGCUCGUGCCGCGUUUUUGCUUGGCUGCGGGGGAAGCUGUGGGUGAUGUGGACUGGGGGAGAGCGGAUCGACCUCGACUUCUCCUCGGCGACGGUCGACGACGAGCGUCGAUUCGAGAUCUGCGAAGCUUGGGGCGCGUCCCCGGCCGAUGCUCCUUCAACGGCGGAAUCGGCCAGGCCUUCGUGUCGGGCAGUUAUUGCGGCUCGCUGAAGCCUGCGUGCGAUGGAGCUUCGUCAGAUCGUGGUGGUGGUGACGGCGGUUGCGGCGGCGGAUUUGUCCGUUACCGUUGUUGCAAGGGGAAAGGGUCCAGGGACCUGUCUGUAAUUUUUUUUUGUUGAGGCCCUUUCUGCAAAGUUUGGAGGGACAGCUCUCCUCUAUAUCCUUGAUGUAUCUGUAUUCGUACGGUCUGUGUACGUUUGCCUUACCUCUUAAAACAGGUAUGUUUGAUAAAAAAAAACACUUCCAACGGCACCAGAGAACUGGUGAUCUACAGUCA